GCUAUCCUACGGGGCGCAGCAGUGAGGAAUAUUGGUCAAUGGGCGAGAGCCUGAACCAGCCAAGUCGCGUGAAGGAUGAAGGAUCUAUGGUUUGUAAACUUCUUUUAUAUGGGAAUAAAGUGAGGAACGUGUUCCUUUUUGUAUGUACCAUAUGAAUAAGCAUCGGCUAACUCCGUGCCAGCAGCCGCGGUAAUACGGAGGAUGCGAGCGUUAUCCGGAUUUAUUGGGUUUAAAGGGUGCGUAGGCGGAACAUUAAGUCAGCGGUAAAAUCGAGGGGCUCAACCCCUUUAAGCCGUUGAAACUGG
rnacentral:rRNA from 1 species